rnacentral:lncRNA from 1 species
AUGCACUGGCCAAAAAAGUUUUCCAAAUACCUCCACAUUAUCAAGUCUGGAUUUAGAAAAGAAUAGCAAAAAAAUCUGCACCUCCUGCUUCACAUGCAAUUUGUGCUUGUGUGUUCAGAGGCGGCGGCGAGAGGUGGGACCUCGGCUCAUCCAGCUGGACAGCCUGACCAGGAGGAGUCGAACAUUAACUCUGCUCUUCCAGGGCACCCUGCAGACUCGGCUGCUGGCAACAGCGAGGGAGUGCGGCUGCCGCUGGGAUGACGUGAACGCCAAACUGGAGUCCAUCACAGGUCGACUGCAGCUCCUUGUCUCAGAGUGGGAGGGAUUUGAAGCACAAAGGGAGGAGCUUGUCGUUUGGUUGGCUGAUAUGGAUGUCCACCUGAGGUGUUUCCAGCUGACAGGAAACACCUGUGAAAAACUGAAACAACUGCAGGUGUGGGCUUGUUUUGAUAUGACAUAUUUGAUAUGAUACAUACGUCAGAGACAUUAUCCUAAACUGGACUAAUAAAGGACCAUGAGUCCAACAUGAAACUUACCUUACAUAAGGUAAGGCUGAAGUUCAUUUAUAAUUUUAAUCAAAAACUUGUUGUUGAAAUAUUUUUACUGAACAUGCAAACAUCUGCUGAUGAAAAUGUCUUGAUUUAUUGGUCCGUUACGAAGCUAUUGCUAUUUCUAAUGUGUUUUUAUCACUUUCUGAUGUUUUAUUAAUUAAACAAUACAUGUAUUAAUUGUUGUGUUAUCUAUAGAUAUAUUCAUAUAUAUAUUUAUUUAUAGUAUAGUAAAAAUGUUUAAUUAUUACUUUUUAAAUGACUAAUAUGUCACAUGUAUUAGUAGUGAUGUUGUGCUGAGGGUUAAAAUGCCUUUUUGUCUUUUGGUAUAUUACGAAAUAGCAAUAAACCAAUGGUAUAUGUCUAUGCUGUGCUCGUAUUUAUUUUACCCUACUCAAAUUCAAUUCAUGAUACAUUUUAUUUUGAAAGAUUUAAAAUGGUUCUUUAAAGAACCAUUUCAAAAAAGGUUCUUUGACAUGGUUUUUUAAAGAACCAUUUGAAGGAGCUUUUUAAAAAUGGUUCUUUAAAGAACCAUUUCUUGAUGGUUCUUUGGGGCACCUUUAAAGGUUCUUCAAUGAGCCACUGAAAGAAAUGGUUCUUCAGAGAACCAUUGUUUGAAAGGUUCUUUUUGGCACCAAAAAAGGUUCUUCUAUGGCAUCAGUCUAAAGAACCCCUUUUCGUUCCAGCUGGCACCUUUAUUUUUCUGAG